AAGUCGUAACAAGGUUUCCGUAGGUGAACCUGCGGAAGGAUCAUUAACACGUAUCCAACGUUAAACCCCCUGUGAACCUUCAUUGUACGAGUUACAUCCACGUCAUAAACCGGCAAUCUCUGGUAAAUCAUCGCCGAACAGUUUUGAUUCAGAGACCUCUGGGAAGGGUGAAAGUGUCACUAGCUAUGUACGGAUGGCGCAGUAACGAUCGCUGGAGGCCGACACGGCCGGCGACCAGGUCACUGGGCUACGGCCCCCCUGAUCACAACCUUUGCAUGAAAACGGGCCUGCGCUGAGGUGCGGCCACCCCUAAUGCUUGAACAACUGUUAACAAUGGAUAUCUUGGUUCUC
rnacentral:misc_RNA from 1 species